rnacentral:rRNA from 1 species
UACAGAGGGGGCAAGCGUUGUUCGGAAUUACUGGGCGUAAAGGGCGCGUAGGCGGGAUGGCAAGUCGGUCGUGAAAGCCUUCGGCUCAACCGAAGAACGUCGGCCGAUACUGCCGUUCUUGAGGGAUGCAGAGGAGACUGGAAUUCCCGGUGUAGCGGUGAAAUGUGUAGAGAUCGGGAGGAACACCGGUGGCGAAGGCGGGUCUCUGGGCAUCUCCUGACGCUGAGGCGCGAAAGCGUGGGGAGCAAACGGG